UUUCAUGAUGACAUCUCUUUAGUGCCAUCGUGUCUGGGCCACUGAUGCUCUGUGAUGGAAACGAGGAACUGAAGGAA